rnacentral:lncRNA from 1 species
UAUCCUUCUGCGUCCCUUUGUGGCUGGGCUUUGGUUCUGCAAUGCUGAAUCGUCUCCCUGCUCCCCGGCAGUUCUGCCAGCAGCAACCUGCCGGACACAGUGGUUGCCAGAGCUGCUGUUGGUGGUGUUACAAGAUGGGGGUUGAAGGAGAUCGCCGUCACGCAGGAGGCAAUUCUCCCUGCUGUAGAGACGCCUGCCCGGGAGCUGCGGUGCUCUACAUCACGGUGGGAACAGGCAAGGCUGUGAUCUCAUGGUGUCUUUGGGAGAAUAAAACCAGAUAA